ensembl:misc_RNA
CACCGUUUCAGUGGCAUUUAAAUCCCCGGCGCUCCCCAGUCUAGGUGACGCGCAGUCGCCCCCCCAGGCAGCCUGGGCGGCAGCAGCAGCUGCGACGGCCGCAGGGGCAGAAGCGGAGCGCUAAG